rnacentral:tRNA from 1 species
GGGGACUUGGUGUAGCUCGGUGGCACAGCAGGCUCCAGAUCCUACAAGCAAAAGCUGUACUGCGGACACCUGUCGGUCGGGGGUUCAAAUCCCUCAGUUCCCA